rnacentral:rRNA from 1 species
AACGAACGCUGGCGGCGUGCCUAACACAUGCAAGUCGAACGGGAAAGCCCGCAAGGGUGAGUACAGUGGCGCACGGGUGCGUAACACGUGGGUAAUCUGCCCAGAAGCCCGGAAUAACUCCCCGAAAGGGGUGCUAAUGCCGGAUGAGACCACGGGGACUUCGGUUCCUGGGGGAAAAGGUGGCCUCUGUACACAAGCUAUCACUUCUGGAUGAGCCCGCGGCCCAUCAGCUAGUUGGCGGGGUAAUGGCCCACCAAGGCUACGACGGGUAGCUGGUCUGAGAGGACGAUCAGCCACACUGGAACUGAGACACGGUCCAGACUCCUACGGGAGGCAG